rnacentral:tRNA from 1 species
GGCGUCUUAGCUCAGUUGGUAGAGCAGAGGACUGAAAAUCCUUGUGUCCCCAGUUCGAAUCUGGGAGAUGCCA